UACGUAGGGGGCUAGCGUUAUCCGGAGUUACUGGGCGUAAAGGGUGCGUAGGUGGUUUCUUAAGUCAGAGGUGAAAGGCUACGGCUCAACCGUAGUAAGCCUUUGAAACUGGGAAACUUGAGUGCAGGAGAGGAGAGUGGAAUUCCUAGUGUAGCGGUGAAAUGCGUAGAUAUUAGGAGGAACACCAGUUGCGAAGGCGGCUCUCUGGACUGUAACUGACACUGAGGCACGAAAGCGUGGGGAGCAAACAGG
rnacentral:rRNA from 1 species